GACGAACCGUGCGAACGUUGUUCGGAAUAACUGGGCUUAAAGGGUGCGUAGGCGGGUCUGCAAGUCUGUGGUGAAAUACUCCCGCUUAACGGGAGAACUGCCGUGGAUACUGCGGACCUCGAGGAAGAUAGGGGCGUGCGGAACAGUUGGUGGAGCGGUGAAAUGCGUUGAUAUCAACUGGAACUCCGGUGGCGAAGGCGGCGCGCUGGAUCUUUUCUGACGCUGAGGCACGAAAGCUAGGGGAGCAAACGGG
rnacentral:rRNA from 1 species